ensembl:lncRNA
GGUGUUUGGUAUGAAUAUCUCUCUAGUGUGUAAACCUCUCUAUCCAGGGUGUUUGGUAUGAAUAUCUCUCUAGUGUGUAAACACCUCUAUCCAGGGUGUUUGGUAUGAAUAUCUCUCUAGUGUGUAAACCUCUCUAUCCAGGGUGUUUGGUAUGAAUAUCUCUCUAGUGUGUUAACCUCUCUAUCCAGGGUGUUUGGUAUGAAUAUCUCUCUAGUGUGUAAACCUCUCUAUCCAGGGUGUUUGGUAUGAAUAUCUCUCUAGUGUGUAAACCUCUCUAUCCAGGGUGUUUGGUAUGAAUAUCUCUCUAGUGUGUAAACCUCUCUAUCCAGGGUGUUUGGUAUGAAUAUCUCUCUAGUGUGUAAACCUCUCUAUCCAGGGUGUUUGGUAUGAAUAUCUCUCUAGAGUGUUAACCUCUCUAUCCAGGGUGUUUGGUAUGAAAAAUGUGUAGUUGCAUUACUUUAAAUGAUAGGUGUGUACAAUCGUGUUACUCUGGUUGCAUAAAUUGUUGUUUUCACAUAAAUCCGUACGUAAUUCACCACGGCUGUCCACAUCUCGUGUUACUCUGGUUGUGUAAAUGGCUGUUUUCACAUAACUCUGUACCUAAUUCACCACGGCUGUGCACAUCUUGUCUGUUCCGAACAAAGUCUCUCCUCAUCCUCUAUUCUAAGAACCAACAGUUCUUGGGUCUCGUAAGAGAACACAGAGGAUUCUGACUAGUUGGCCACCUCAUCCACUAGAUAUGUGUUGGUUCGACACAUUGAGUCAGUUGUGGUGGAACCAGCCAUGACUAAGCAUUAAUAGGUUUACUAUAUGAGACCUCUGUUGGUUUCUGUAUGUCAGAGCUCUUGGCCCAACACUCAAGAGUGUGGGGUCGACCAGCCUCAUUAUUGCAGGGCUCUCAACGAAUCACUUAUGGGUGCAGUGAUUCAGGGCAGGUGGAGCUGUUAUGAGCCCCAAAUCUUUACCAACAUAAAUCAAAUCCCACCCAAAAAUGGUGGCUUGCUUGUUUUGCAUGUUAUUUUGGCAUUAAUAUGUGACACAUAUCAGUUUGCAAACAAUGUAAUUUUUUAUAAUAUAUGUAUCAUUGAAUUAAUAAAGCUCUAUAGAAACAUGGUUGCUUGUUUGAUUUCUUGAGUAAGGCAACUCACAAAAAGCAGGUGUUUCAGCCCAGCUCAGUGCUUUUUAGUGGUGGUGGGGCAAGCCAGCAGAAAAUACAAGCGUUGCGCCUUGAUUGACUCAGUGUUCUGUCACCCAUUGGUGAAACUACGUCACCUCCAAGUCUAAGGGGAGA